rnacentral:rRNA from 1 species
GAUGAACGCUAGCGGCAGGCCUAAUACAUGCAAGUCGAGGGGCAGUCAAUCUUCGGGAUUGAGCGACCGGCGCACGGGUGCGUAACGCGUAUGCAACCUACCUUGUACAGGGGGAUAGCCCGUGGAAACAUGGAUUAAUACCCCAUAAUUUAUUUAAUCGCAUGGGUUAAAUGAUUAAAGUUCCGACGGUACAAGAUGGGCAUGCGUAUGAUUAGCUAGAUGGUGAGGUAACGGCUCACCAUGGCGACGAUCAUUAGCGGGUCUGAGAGGAUGAUCCGCCACACUGGUACUGAGAUACGGACCAG